AACGAACGCUGGCGGCAUGCCUAACACAUGCAAGUCGAACGAGACCUUCGGGUCUAGUUGCGCACGGGUGCGUAACGCGUGGGAACCUGCCCUUAGGUUCGGAAUAACUCCCCGAAAGGGGUGCUAAUACCGGAUAAUGUCUUCGGACCAAAGAUUUAUCGCCUUUGGAUGGGCCCGCGUUGGUUUAGCUAGUUGGUAGGGUAAAAGCCUACCAAGGCGUCGCUCCAUAGCUGGUCUGAGAGGAUGAUCAGCCACACUGGGACUGAGACACGGCCCAGAAUCCUACGGGAGGGAGGAGAGGGGAAUAUAGGAAAAUGGGGGAAAGGAUGAUCCAGCAAUGCCGGGUGAGUGAUGAAGGCGUUAGGGUUGUAAAGCUGGUUUACACGGGAUGAUAAUGACAGUACCGGGAGAAUAAGCACCGGCUAACUCCGUG
rnacentral:rRNA from 1 species